rnacentral:rRNA from 1 species
GACGACGCUGGCGGCGUGCUUAACACAUGCAAGUCGAACGGUGACGAGGAGCUUGCUCCUCUGAUCAGUGGCGAACGGGUGAGUAACACGUGAGCAACCUGCCCCAGACUCUGGGAUAACAGUUGGAAACAGCUGCUAAUACCGGAUACGAGACGGAGAGGCAUCUCUACCGUCUGGAAAGUUUUUCGGUCUGGGAUGGACUCGCGGCCUAUCAGCUAGUUGGUGAGGUAAUGGCUCACCAAGGCGACGACGGGUAGCCGGCCUGAGAGGGCGACCGGCCACACUGGGACUGAGACACGGCCCAGACUCCUACGGGAGGCAGCAGUGGGGAAUAUUGCACAAUGGGCGAAAGCCUGAUGCAGCGACGCCGCGUGAGGGAUGAAGGCCUUCGGGUUGUAAACCUCUUUCAGCAGGGAAGAAGCGAAAGUGACGGUACCUGCAGAAGAAGCACCGGCUAACUACGUG